rnacentral:rRNA from 1 species
UCGGGGAUAUUGCACAAUGGGCGAAAGCCUGAUGCAGCGACGCCGCGUGGGGGAUGAAGGCUUUCGGGUUGUAAACCUCUUUCGCUAUCGAACAAGGCCCGCUUAGGGUGGGUUGAGGGUAGGUGGAGAAGAAGCGCCGGCUAACUACGUGCCAGCAGCCGCGGUAAUACGUAGGGCGCGAGCGUUGUCCGGAAUUAUUGGGCGUAAAGGGCUUGUAGGCGGCUUGUUGCGCCUGCUGUGAAAACGCGGGGCUUAACUUCGCGCGUGCAGUGGGUACGGGCAGGCUUGAGUGUGGUAGGGGUGACUGGAAUUCCAGGUGUAGCGGUGGAAUGCGCAGAUAUCUGGAGGAACACCGAUGGCGAAGGCAGGUCACUGGGCCAUUACUGACGCUGAGGAGCGAAAGCAUGGGUAGCGAACAGG